rnacentral:tmRNA from 3 species
GGGGCUGAUUCUGGAUUCGACGGGAUUUGCGAAACCCAAGGUGCAUGCCGAGGGGCGGUUGGCCUCGUAAAAAGCCGCAAAAAAUAGUCGCAAACGACGAAAACUACGCUUUAGCAGCUUAAUAACCUGCUUAGAGCCCUCUCUCCCUAGCCUCCGCUCUUAGGACGGGGAUCAAGAGAGGUCAAACCCAAAAGAGAUCGCGUGGAAGCCCUGCCUGGGGUUGAAGCGUUAAAACUUAAUCAGGCUAGUUUGUUAGUGGCGUGUCCGUCCGCAGCUGGCAAGCGAAUGUAAAGACUGACUAAGCAUGUAGUACCGAGGACGUAGGAAUUCCGGACGCGGGUUCAACUCCCGCCAGCUCCACCA